GACGAACGCUGGCGGCGUGCUUAACACACGCAAGUCGAACGAGAAGAUUGAAAGCUUGCUUUUGAAAGUCGAGUGGCACACGGGCGAGUAACGCGUAGGCAACCUGCCUUUGAGAUGGGGACAACAGUUCGAAAGGACUGCUAAUACCGAACGUUGUAUAUUUUCCACAUGGAAGAUAUAUUAAAGAUGGACUAUAUUUAUAAGAUCUCGCUCAAAGCUGGGUCUGCGUCUGAUUAGCUAGUUGGUGGGGUAACGGCCGACCAAGGCGACGAUAAGUAGCCGGUCUGAGAGGAUGAACGGCCACAUUGGGACUGAGACACGGCCCAGAUUCCUACGGGAGGCAGCAGUGGGGAGUCUUCCGCAAUGGACGAAAGUCUGACGGAGCAACGCCGCGUGAGUGAAGAAGGUUUUCGGAUCGUAAAGCUCUGUUGUUUGAGACGAAUGUGCCUGUUUCGAAUAGGGAUAGGUAAUGACGGUAUUAAACGAGAAAGCCACGGCUAACUACGUGCCAGCCGCCGCCGUAA
rnacentral:rRNA from 1 species